AGCAUGCAGCUCGGGCGCGGGCUUUCACACAUACGGACAGACAGACGACAAAGAAGCUCAUUGAUGUAGUAGAGGGUUUCACCAUGGACACGUUUGUCACAGAGACGUUGACUGCAUGGCAGCUUGAGAACUUGAUUGACACAUUUAAAGGCCAUCCACAGACACAAAGAAAGCCCUUGCCGUGGCAUUGGUGUAUGAAUUCCCUUGCCUUUUGGAUGGUACAGGCAGUGGCUAUGGAGCUUGGUACACACCUGGCCGAAAUCACAAACCUGCUACAGGUUUCCUGGAGGAGCGCUUGAGGAACGUCAGGAAGCACAUGAGAAUGCUGAAACGACCACGCCACCAA